UACGUAGGGGGCAAGCGUUGUCCGGAAUCAUUGGGCGUAAAGCGCGCGUAGGCGGCCAGAUAAGUCCGGUGUGAAAGUCACAGGCUCAACCUGUGAAUGCCGCUGGAAACUGUCUGGCUUGAGUCCGGAAGGGGCGAGUGGAAUUCCUGGUGUAGCGGUGAAAUGCGCAGAUAUCAGGAGGAACACCAAUGGCGAAGGCAGCUCGCUGGAACGGUACUGACGCUGAGGCGCGAAAGCCAGGGGAGCGAACGGG
rnacentral:rRNA from 1 species